GGGUGUGUCCUCAGGUCUAGAGACUUAAUAAGCCAGUCAGCUCCAGGCUUAUAUGCUGGGUCAGUUUUAACACGUCUGCUGGUCUUCAAUUCAGCCUUCAUCCCUUUGAUUCCCCCUACACACACACACACACACACACACACACACACACACACACACACACACUUCAGUGUCUUUCCAUGUAAUUUUUUCCCUGAACACAAAUAAAAGGCAGCAGAGGAAUUCCCGGACGUCAGCGUGCGUCUCUCUCCCUACAAGCCUUGGAGUAAGUGGCUUUGACAAAGUGGAUGAAACAAUUAUCUCCGUUAUCGGCCAAAGCGGUAGACAUGCGAGAGUUGGGGGAUUUCUGCAGGUGGACAGCCUUGGCUAGGAAUCAACACCAAUGGUGAAACGUGCCCAGGAAUGGCUCCCACCUCUCUCUCGCUUGUGACUAUGAGCAUCUGAAGAUGGAUUGUGCAUCCCGACGAGCACGGUUCCGUGAAGAACAAAAAUCAUAGGUCGGAGGUUCAUUAAUCAGUGAGAUUCUCUUUGCAAACACCACCUGAAUGAGUAGUCCCUGUUUUUGGAGAGAUUUUUAAACAAUGAUGACAGUCUGCACCAUGGCAUUGUCCUCAGGCCAAUGGAGCAUUGUAACAUCAAUGUGGUUCAUCAGAAAUGGGUCCUUCAUAUAAAUCUGCUCGUGAGUAAACUAAAAAAUGACUACAUCCUAUCAAUUGGCAUAGAUGCAUAUACAGAAGCUGUUCGUGGAGACUUCAAUAAGCAACGCAUUCAGUCUCUGCCUUCACUAUGUACUGGAAAGUAAAGGGGACAGCUCUGUUAGACAACACCUUGUAUGCACCCUGAAGGCAGCCAUGGGUUAAGGUGCAGUUAGAGGUUCGUGGGCAAGGCAAGAAUUGCGGCUCAUCGGGUUAAAGGAAGAAGAGAAGAAAAGUGGCUCAUGCCUUCAGAGCCUGACCUGGGAGCGUCCCCGUCAAGAGCCUAUCUCAGCCCAAGGAUUUGUCCUCAGCGGUGCCAGAAAAUCUGUUCCCUUGGCAAGGGAUGGAAACCGUAGCGUGACAUUCUCCUGGUAACCCUGCCAGGCCACAGGCAGCCAGCAUACCUGUCCGGGGUGAACAUCCCUAUGCAAAUAGAAAUGGCUCCCCUAUAGGAAACAGUUUACACUGAUGCUGUUUGUCACCUCUGAGAAAUGCAAGCCCUGUGACAGGUUGUGUUCCAGUCCCUGGGCAGGAAGGGAAAUUAUAGGUGCUUCUUUCUAAAUAUAUAUUUUUUUAUUUUGUUUUUUAUUAGGUAUUUCUUUCAUUUACAUUU
rnacentral:lncRNA from 1 species